rnacentral:pre_miRNA from 1 species
GUGUGAAUCCCAGGGCGCUUCUCCAUUGGCAUGGUGGCAUGCAUGCAUGCACGGAAGCUACCUAGCUAGCCUUGCUGUGCGUGCCAAAGGAGAAUUGCCCUGCGAUUCACCU